rnacentral:rRNA from 1 species
CAGCCGCCGCGGGAAUACGGAGGGUGCAAGCGUUAAUCGGAAUUACUGGGCGUAAAGCGCACGCAGGCGGUCUGACAAGUCAGAUGUGAAAUCCCCGGGCUUAACCUGGGAACUGCAUUUGAAACUGUCAGGCUGGAGUCUUGUAGAGGGGGGUAGAAUUCCAGGUGUAGCGGUGAAAUGCGUAGAGAUCUGGAGGAAUACCGGUGGCGAAGGCGGCCCCCUGGACAAAGACUGACGCUCAGGUGCGAAAGCGUGGGGAGCAAACAGGAUUAGAGACCCGCGUAGUCCCUGUCUCUUAUAC